rnacentral:rRNA from 1 species
AACGAACGCUGGCGGCGUGCCUAACACAUGCAAGUCGAGCGAGAAAGUCCGCAAGGAUGAGUAAAGCGGCGCACGGGUGCGUAACACGUGGGUAAUCUUCCUUGGAGCCCGGAAUAACUCCCCGAAAGGGGUGCUAAUGCCGGAUAAGACCACGGGAUCUUUGGAUCCUGAGGGAAAAGGCGGCCUCUGUACACAAGCUGUCACUUCAAGAUGAGCCCGCGGCCCAUCAGCUAGUUGGCGGGGUAAUGGCCCACCAAGGCAUCGACGGGUAGCUGGUCUGAGAGGACGAUCAGCCACACUGGAACUGAGACACGGUCCAGACUCCUACGGGAGGCAGCAGUGGGGAAUCUUGCGCAAUGGGCGAAAGCCUGACGCAGCAACGCCGCGUGUGUGAUGAAGGUCUUCGGAUCGUAAAGCACUGUCGGGAGGGACGAAUAAGGUGGUGGCUAACAUCCGCCGCUGAUGACGGUACCUCCAAAGGAAGCACCGGCUAACUCUGUGCCAGCAGCCGCGGUAAUACAGAGGGUGCAAGCGUUGUUCGGAAUUAUUGGGCGUAAAGCGCGUGUAGGCGGCCAUGCAAGUUGGGUGUGAAAGCCCUCGGCUUAACCGAGGAAGUGCGCCCAAAACUACAUGGCUUGAGUACCGGAGAGGGUGGCGGAAUUCCCGGUGUAGAGGUGAAAUUCGUAGAUAUCGGGAGGAACACCAGUGGCGAAGGCGGCCACCUGGACGGAUACUGACGCUGAGACGCGAAAGCGUGGGUAGCAAACAGGAUUAGAUACCCUGGUAGUCCACGCUGUAAACGAUGAGCGCUAGGUGUUGUGGGUGUUGACCCCUGCAGUGCCGCAGCUAACGCAUUAAGCGCUCCGCCUGGGAAGUACGGCCGCAAGGCUA